AUAUUUCAGACAUCUUAAUACACAACCUUCUACUAUUUUGAUGUUUCUUGAGCUAAGGAGAUGAAGUAGAAAUUGAGCCCGAUCCUGCAACAUGGACAGCCUUAGAGGAGGAACUUUAUAUUCAGUUAAUGGUGAAAGAGGUUCACAAAGGGAAUAGAUCAUCAACCACCUUUUCAAGGAAAGGUUGGAAACAAAUUGAACAAGAGUUCUGUGAGAAAACCAACAAGAGGUACAACAAUUCUCAGUUUAGAAAUAAGUUUAACCAGCUGAGAACCCGUUUUAAUGAUUUUAGUAAGCUGCUGAAGGAACCUGGGUUUACUUGGGUACCCGUGCUCAGUAUUGUAACCGCAACUGAUGCUGUUUGGGAAUCAUACAUAAAGAUUGGUUUUCGAUGAUGUUUGGAAGCAUACUUGCAAAUCAAGAUCAAGUGUUGAAUUUUAUUUUAUUUUUUGAAUUGAUACAUAGUUCUAGUUGUAAAUUAAGAUCAAAUGUUGAUUUUUUU